rnacentral:misc_RNA from 1 species
AAAGUCGUAACAAGGUUUCCGUAGGUGAACCUGCGGAAGGAUCAUUAACGAGUAACGGGUCCUUCUGGGCUCGCACUCCAACCCUUUGUUUACCUGCUCUGUGCCUCGGCAGGGUGCCUUUCAGGUACACCUGCCGGGAGAGAGGCCGCGACAGACAUGCAGCUUCUGCCAAUUAAACUCUGUAAAACUUAAGAGUCUGAUUUAAAAUAUAUGGAAUUAAAACUUUCAACAACGGAUCUCUUGGUUCUG